rnacentral:rRNA from 1 species
CAGUAGCCGCGGGAAUACGGAGGGGGCUAGCGUUGUUCGGAAUUACUGGGCGUAAAGCGCACGUAGGUGGCUUGGUAAGUUAGAGGUGAAAGCCUGGAGCUCAACUCCAGAAUUGCCUUUAAGACUGCCGAGCUAGCAGGUGAGAGAGGUAAGUGGAAUUCCGAGUGUAGAGGUGAAAUUCGUAGAUAUUCGGAGGAACACCAGUGGCGAAGGCGGCUCACUGGUCCAUUACUGACGCUGAGGUGCGAAAGCGUGGGGAGCAAACAGGAUUAGAUACCCCCGUAGUCCCUGUCUCUUAUAC